UAAGUCGUUUUCUUUCUCUGAGAUGUUUCCUUAUUUUGGCUAACAAGUAAGAAACAAUUUAUUCAAAAACAAAUCAAAAUCCCAAAUCUAUGCAAGCUUCUUCUGUCCCACCUCAUUCAAACAUGGCAAGCCCACACGUGGAUGAACAAGUUAAAACUCAUGUCACUUUCAUUUGCAGCGCUGAUACUACCGUUGGAAUUUCAAAAUUCAAUUUCUCCUUCUCUUUCAAUAUCUACUUUCUUACUCAUCUCUCUCCAUCUUUUGUUGAUUUCUUCGAACUGAAAGGGUCAAGCUUCCUCUCUACACACAAAUUUGAGAGAUUCCUUCGUUUCUCCAUCACUUUUGACAAACCCAGCGGCGAGAAAAUUAUGAAGUAAGGGAUGUUGUUCUUCAAUCUUCAUUCCUCACGUUGUUUCUUUUCUUCUUCACGUGCAAAUCAGAGAUUGCUGCUAAUGAAUUUAAGUGAAAGGUUUCUCUGUUGGCUACAUGGCAUUUAUGGUAAAUUAUGUCCAUUUCAUAGUUUAAAAAGAUCCUAACAGAGCUGAUACAAUUUGGGUCAGAUUCAUGGACUAAAUUUGAUCCCAAAGGUGAAUAUAAAAGGUAAAGGCUACCUGAGUUAGCAAGAAUGCCAACCAAGUGGAUCUGUCUUAAUUAGCAUUGCACAACCUACUGUGCCUAAAUAAAUAAGAGUUAAACCAGCUCAAAAUUUUCCAAAGUAGUUUCAUCGUAUCUUUGGCAAAGAAGAAUGCUGAUUGGAGCUAUAUUGUAGAUUUGGGAAAGAUGACAAGCAAUGAUAGAUUUCCAAAGGAUGAAGUUUAAAUUUGUGAAGAUAGAGUUUUACAUGACAAGUCCUUUAGAUGGAGUUUAAGAGACCCUUUUUAUUCAUUCUUUUUUCUUAUUCAUUGUUUUAGCGGUGUCUUAAACUUCAUUUAUAUGUAUGUAUUGAGCACCAAAAACAUGAUUUGUAUGUUGAACUUGACUUAUUUUUUUCCUAUGUAAUUUGUUAUUUUUAUACUACAUGUGAAGUGAACAAUGCUUCCCAAUCAAACGAAUAUCAAUUGAGAUGUAGGUACAUAUAUAUAGAUGAG